CCAAGACAUCUCUUUCAUCAUAUGUUUCUAAAGUUUCGUAUGAUCUGGUUUUAUGCAUAAACUAAACUGAAUGUAUUGUGUUGAUAUAUAUUGAAAGCUGUUUCCCUUCUUUCAAAAUUUUUUUUUCACUACUACAUGUCUACAUGUUCAGAAUUGGAAAUGCAGUUAUUGAUCUAUCCUGAGAUCUGUACUUCACCGGUUUACAGUCACUAACAGCUGCAGGCACAGACAGACAUGAGAUGUCUUCAUUGACAGAUGCCAGCUGGAGCUAACCCGCAACACACUACAGCCAUUUUUUUUCACCCUGGAGUGGACAUGGUCCAAUGGGCCACUCAUCUGGUGACAUGUGUCUGGAUA